rnacentral:misc_RNA from 1 species
AGGUCUUAAGUUCGAGUUCUAGUCGGACCCAAUUGUACCAAAAAAAGGUUUUUAAGGGUGUAUUAAUAAUAAGUUUCACUGUGGUCACAAUUCUUUAUUUUGCAUCAAUUUGGUCAUCAAACAUUUGGUCUGAACUGAACCAAUGUCUCUAGAUUCUGGUGAAAGGCUUGCUGGAAAAGCUGAUGUGCCAUCAAUAUAUCACUUUUCUUUUUUCGUUGUCUAGGAGCAAAGGCGUUUUAUUCUCAUUUUUUUACUAUCUCAAUUUUCA